GCAGCAGCCACGGUAAAACGGAGGAUCCAAGCGUUAUCCGGAAUCAUUGGGUUUAAAGGGUCCGUAGGCGGUCUUGUAAGUCAGUGGUGAAAGCCCAUCGCUCAACGGUGGAACGGCCAUUGAUACUGCAGGACUUGAAUUAUUGGGAAGUAACUAGAAUAUGUAGUGUAGCGGUGAAAUGCUUAGAGAUUACAUGGAAUACCAAUUGCGAAGGCAGGUUACUACCAAUUGAUUGACGCUGAUGGACGAAAGCGUGGGUAGCGAACAGGAUUAGAUACCCGAGUAGUCCCUGUCUCUUAUAC
rnacentral:rRNA from 1 species